rnacentral:rRNA from 1 species
AACGAACGCUGGCGGCAUGCCUAACACAUGCAAGUCGAACGAGACCUUCGGGUCUAGUGGCGCACGGGUGCGUAACGCGUGGGAACCUGCCCUUAGGUUCGGAAUAACUCCCCGAAAGGGGUGCUAAUACCGGAUAAUGUCUUCGGACCAAAGAUUUAUCGCCUUUGGAUGGGCCCGCGUUGGAUUAGCUAGUUGGUAGGGUAAAAGCCUACUAAGGCGACGAUCCAUAGCUGGUAUGAGAGGAUGAUCAGCCACACUGGGACUGAGACACGGCCCAGACUCCUACGGGAGGCAGGAGUGGGGAAUAUAGGACAACGGGCUAAAGCCUGAUCCAGCAAUGCCGCGUGAGUGAUGAAGGCCUUAGGGUUGUAAAGCUCUUUUACCCGGGAUGAUAAUGACAGUACCGGGAGAAUAAGCUCCGGCUAACUACGUG